UACGGAUGUGUCAGGCGCCUGCUCCAUGCGUAACGACCAUUAAUUCUCCUCUGAUACGUAUGAUUCUCCUCUAAUACGCAUGCGGAAUGACCUACCAGCGGGGCAUCUUGGUCAUUUUCCCCUUUCCGGGCUGGGUUGAAUGGUAGGGCUGAAGUUGAGCCUGGUGAGGGCCUGAUUACUGGGCCGAGAGGUUUGGGCCGGUUUGAUUGAGGAGUCUAGGCGGAGUCCGGCCCUGUGACUGAGCGGGCUGGACCUGGCUCUCGAGGGGAAUAUUGAAACCUUCGGAUCAUGGACUGUUUUCAUGGAUCUGGCCUUUAUACCGGGGUGAAGAAAUCCAG
rnacentral:lncRNA from 1 species